rnacentral:rRNA from 1 species
GACGAACGCUGGCGGCGUGCUUAACACAUGCAAGUCGAGCGGAAAGGCCCUUCGUGGUCCUCGAGUGGCGAACGGGUGGGUAACACGUGGGUGAUCUGCCCUGCACUUUGGGAUAAGCAUGGGAAACUGGGUCUAAUACCGAAUAGGACCACGCGCUUCAUGGUGUGUGGUGGCAAGCUUUUGCGGUGUGGGAUGGGCCCCCGGCCUAUCAGCUCGUUGGUGGGGUAAUGGCCUACCAAGGCGACGACGGGUAGCCGGCCUGAGAGGGUGACCGGCCACACUGGGACUGAGAUACGGCGCAGACUCCUACGGGAGGCAGCAGUGGAGAAUAUUGCACAAUGGGCGCAAGCCUGAUGCAGCGACGCCGCGUGAGGGAUGACGGCCUUCGGGUUGUAAACCUCUUUCAGUAGGGACGAAGCGCAAGUGACGGUACCUAUAGAAGAAGCACCGGCCAACUACGUG